UAUUGCGUCAUUUGAUUUUGA
ensembl:piRNA 21ur-7715 ncRNA